UACUCGGUAGCUUAGUUGGAAAAGCACUUGUCUAGCGAAUAAGGGUCGUGAGUUCAAAUCUUACAUGAGCUG
rnacentral:tRNA from 1 species